rnacentral:rRNA from 1 species
CGCGUAGGUGGUUUGUUAAGUUGGAUGUGAAAGCCCCGGGCUCAACCUGGGAACUGCAUCCAAAACUGGCAAGCUAGAGUACGGUAGAGGGUGGUGGAAUUUCCUGUGUAGCGGUGAAAUGCGUAGAUAUAGGAAGGAACACCAGUGGCGAAGGCGACCACCUGAACUGAUACUGACACUGAGGUGCGAAAGCGUGGGGAGCAAACA